rnacentral:rRNA from 1 species
GAGUUCAGACUCGUGGCGAAAAGCUCAGUAACACGUGGCCAAACUACCCUACAGAGAACGAUAACCUCGGGAAACUGAGGCUAAUAGUUCAUACGGGAGUCAUGCUGGAAUGCCGACUCCCCGAAACGCUCAGGCGCUGUAGGAUGUGGCUGCGGCCGAUUAGGUAGACGGUGGGGUAACGGCCCACCGUGCCGAUAAUCGGUACGGGUUGUGAGAGCAAGAGCCCGGAGACGGAAUCUGAGACAAGAUUCCGGGCCCUACGGGGCGCAGCAGGCGCGAAACCUUUACACUGCACGAAAGUGCGAUAAGGGGACCCCAAGUGCGAGGGCAUAUAGUCCUCGCUUUUCUCGACUGUAAGGCGGUCGAGGAAUAAGAGCUGGGCAAGACCGGUGCCAGCCGCCGCGGUAAUACCGGCAGCUCAAGUGAUGACCGAUAUUAUUGGGCCUAAAGCGUCCGUAGCCGGCCACGAAGGUUCAUCGGGAAAUCCGCCAGCUCAACUGGCGGGCGUCCGGUGAAAACCACGUGGCUUGGGACCGGAAGGCUCGAGGGGUACGUCCGGGGUAGGAGUGAAAUCCUGUAAUCCUGGACGGACCACCGAUGGCGAAAGCACCUCGAGAAGACGGAUCCGACGGUGAGGGACGAAAGCUAGGGUCUCGAACCGGAUUAGAUACCCGGGUAGUCCUAGCUGUAAACGAUGCUCGCUAGGUGUGACACAGGCUACGAGCCUGUGUUGUGCCGUAGGGAAGCCGAGAAGCGAGCCGCCUGGGAAGUACGUCCGCAAGGAUGAAACUUAAAGGAAUUGGCGGGGGAGCACUACAACCGGAGGAGCCUGCGGUUUAAUUGGACUCAACGCCGGACAUCUCA